rnacentral:rRNA from 1 species
ACGAAGGGGGCUAGCGUUGCUCGGAUUGACUGGGCGUAAAGGGCGCGUAGGCGGUUUGCAUAGUCAGACGUGAAAUUCCUGGGCUUAACCUGGGGGCUGCGUUUGAUACAUGCAGGCUUGAGUUCGGAAGAGGGUCGUGGAAUUCCCAGUGUAGAGGUGAAAUUCGUAGAUAUUGGGAAGAACACCGGUGGCGAAGGCGGCGACCUGGUCCGAUACUGACGCUGAGGCGCGAAAGCGUGGGGAGCAAACAGGA